CUUGAACGCUGGCGGCAGGCCUAACACAUGCACGUCGAACGAGUGGCGGACGGGUGAGUACUGUCUGGGAAACUGCCUGAUGUAGUGGGAUAACUACUGGAAACGGUAGCUAAUACCACAUACCAUCGGAUGUGCCCAGAUGGGAUUAGCUCGUCGGUGGGGUAACGGCUCACCUAGGCGACGAUCCCUAGCUGGUCUGAGAGGAUGACCAGCCACACUGGAAAUGAGACACGGUCCAGACGCCGACGUGAGGCAGCAGUGGGGAAUAGUGCACAAUGGGCGCAAGCCUGAGGCAGCCAUGCCGCGUGUAUGAAGAAGGCCUGCGGGUUGUAAAGUACUUUCAGCGGGGAGGCGUGACCCGCAGAAGAAGCACCGGCUAACUCCGAGCCAGCAGCCGCGGUAAUUC
rnacentral:rRNA from 1 species